GACGAUCGCUGCCGGCGGGGUUAACACACGCAACUCGAACGGAAAGUGCCUGCUUUUGUGGGGUGCUCGAGUGGCGAAAGUGUGAUUAACACGUGAGUAACCUUCCCUUGACUUGGGGAUAACUUCAGGAAACUGGGGCUAAUACCGGAUAGGAACGCCUGCUGCAUGGUGGGGGUUGGAAAGUUUCGGCGGUUGGGGAUGGACUCGCGGCUUAUCAGCUUGUUGGUGGGGUAGUGGCUUACCAAGGCUUUGACGGGUAGCCGGCCUGGGAGGGUGACCGGCCACAUUGGGACUGAGAUACGGCCCCGACUCCUACGGGAGGCAGCAGUGGGGAAUAUUGCACAAUGGGCGGAAGCCUGAUGCAGCAACGCCGCGUGCGGGAUGACGGCCUUCGGGUUGUAAACCGCUUUCGCCUGUGACGAAGCGUGAGUGACGGUAAUGGGUAAAGAAGCACCGGCUAAGUACGUG
rnacentral:rRNA from 1 species